GCUCAGUGGUAGAGCACUUGCCUAGCAAGCAUGAGGCCCUGGGUUUAAUACCCAG
rnacentral:tRNA from 1 species